UUACGGGAGGCAGCAGUGAGGAAUUUUCCGCAAUGGGCGAAAGCCUGACGGAGCGACGCCGCGUGGAGGAUGAAGGUUUUCGGACUGUAAACUCCUUUUAUAUGUGAAGAUUAUGACGGUAACAUAUGAAUAAGCACCGGCUAACUACGUGCCAGCAGCCGCGGUAAUACGUAGGGUGCAAGCGUUAUCCGGAAUUACUGGGCGUAAAGAGUGCGUAGGCGGAUUCUUAAGUCAAGUGUUAAAUCUACAGGCUCAACUUGUAGGCUGCACUUGAUACUGGGAGUCUUGAGAGUGGAAGAGGCAGACGGAAUUUCCGGUGGAGCGGUAAAAUGCGUAGAUAUCGGAAGGAACACCAAUGGCGAAGGCAGUCUGCUGGGCCAUUUCUGACGCUAAGGCACGAAAGCGUGGGGAGCGAUCGGGAUUAGAUACCCCGGUAGC
rnacentral:rRNA from 1 species